rnacentral:rRNA from 1 species
ACUCCUACGGGAGGCAGCAGUGGGGAAUAUUGCACAAUGGGCGCAAGCCUGAUGCAGCCAUGCCGCGUGUAUGAAGAAGGCCUUCGGGUUGUAAAGUACUUUCAGUUGUGAGGAAGGGGGUAGUGUUAAUAGCGCUAUCUCUUGACGUUAGCAACAGAAGAAGCACCGGCUAACUCCGUGCCAGCAGCCGCGGUAAUACGGAGGGUGCGAGCGUUAAUCGGAAUUACUGGGCGUAAAGCGCAUGCAGGUGGUUCAUUAAGUCAGAUGUGAAAGCCCGGGGCUCAACCUCGGAACUGCAUUUGAAACUGGUGAACUAGAGUACUGUAGAGGGGGGUAGAAUUUCAGGUGUAGCGGUGAAAUGCGUAGAGAUCUGAAGGAAUACCAGUGGCGAAGGCGGCCCCCUGGACAGAUACUGACACUCAGAUGCGAAAGCGUGGGGAGCAAACAGGAUUAGAUACCCUGGUAGUCCACGCCGUAAACGAUGUCUACUUGGAGGUUGUGGCCUUGAGCCGUGGCUUUCGGAGCUAACGCGUUAAGUAGACCGCCUGGGGAGUACGGUCGCAAGAUUAAAACUCAAAGGAAUUGACGG